CCCCUAGUAACUGCGAGUGAAGCGGGAAAAGCUCAAAUUUAAAAUCUGGCGGUCCCUGUGGCCGUCCGAGUUGUAAUUUAGAGAAGUGUUAUCCGCGCUGGACCGUGUACAAGUCUCCUGGAAUGGAGCGUCAUAGAGGGUGAGAAUCCCGUCUUUGACACGGACUGCCAGGGCAUUGUGAUACGCUCUCAAAGAGUCGAGUUGUUUGGGAAUGCAGCUCAAAAUGGGUGGUAAAUUCCAUCUAAAGCUAAAUAUUGGGGAGAGACCGAUAGCGAACAAGUACCGUGAGGGAAAGAUGAAAAGAACUUUGGAAAGAGAGUUAAACAGUACGUGAAAUUGCUGAAAGGGAAACGCUUGAAGUCAGUCGCGUUGUUCAGGACUCAGCCUUGCUUUGCUUGGUGUACUUCCUGUUCGACGGGUCAGCAUCAAUUUUGGCCGGUGGAUAAAGGCUUGGAGAAUGUGGCAUCCUCGGGUGUGUUAUAGCUCUGGGUCGUAUACAUCGGUUGGGAUUGAGGAACUCAGCACGCCGCAAGGCCGGGUACUUGUA
rnacentral:rRNA from 1 species